rnacentral:rRNA from 1 species
AUUGAACGCUGGCGGCAUGCCUUACACAUGCAAGUCGAACGGCAGCACGGGUGCUUGCACCUGGUGGCGAGUGGCGAACGGGUGAGUAAUACAUCGGAACAUGUCCUGUAGUGGGGGAUAGCCCGGCGAAAGCCGGAUUAAUACCGCAUACGAUCUACGGAUGACAGCGGGGGACUUUGGGCCUUGCGGCGGUGGGGUGGGCGAUGGCUGAUUAGCUAGUUGGUGGGGGAAAGGCCUACCAAGGCGACGAUCAGUAGCUGGUCUGAGGGGACGGCCAGCCACACUGGGACUGAGACACGGCCCAGACUCCUACGGGAGGCAGCAGUGGGGAAUGUUGGACAAUGGGCGAAAGCCUGAUCCAGCAAUGCCGCGUGUGUGAAGAAGGCCUUCGGGUUGUAAAGCACUUUUGUCCGGAAAGAAAUCCUUGGCCCUAAUACGGUCGGGGGAUGACGGUACCGGAAGAAUAAGCACCGGCUAACUACGUG